UUUUGGUUCGUUUCUGCCUACUCUUUGCACAGUCCACCAUGGUUUUUUCCUUAAAGUCUCUGUUCUCGUUCGCGUAGACUGGCUCUCUGCGAGACCGGUUUUUAAGGCACCCAGAAGAAAGGAAUCGUUCAGGGAAUUGUUGAGAUAGAAUGUAGACGAUGUCAAUGGGUUUAACCAUUUGGAAUCGGUUCUGGAUUCCCAUCCCUAGAUGUUAUGAUGUGUUGUUUUGAUGAAUUUUUCAAUCAUGAAAAGCUUUAAAGCUGCCAUGGGGAACUUUUGGUGUGUGUCCGUUUGGUUUAUCUUGCCCUUGACACACUUGAGACUCAAAAAAUCUCAUUGUGCUAACUUGUUCUGUCAAAUAAAAACAUGUCUGCUUUUUUCCAUUUCUUGACACCUCCUCCCUUACACUAUAUUCAGGCACUAAAAAAUUAUACUAUUAACAUAAUCAAUCAUGUUACUGAUGGUCUGGUUUGCUUUGAGAUGUCAUAAAAAUGCAUCAAUUUGAAUUUCAGUCUCUUACAUAAGUGUCAAAAAACUCCUUAUAGGAGCUUUAAAUGGUUCAUCAAGCAUAUGUUACUCUGACGACUCUAUUUCUGUGUAUUUGUUCCCGCGCUAGGCAGUUGACCAUCUUUCACGCUGACCAACUGCAGCUUUACACAGCGAGGUCUAACAGCCAAGAGUAUAUUACACCCUCACACGAAAGCCUCCCCAGGAGAGAUGUGAGUGCACCUCAGAGCGGGAGCAGGUGCACUUCAUCCUGUCCUAUAAGAGCACCGGCGCAUUUAUUGCAUACUGUCACAUAUCAUUGGCUGCAGUAGGUGCGAGUCGAUUUCCUGUGUCAUACUCUGCAGUGAAGCUGCUGUUAAACUGUUAUGUCUUUAACUAACCUGCUCCAUCUUUUGGUGCUCAGUAUUUCCACUCCACGGUGGAUUAAAUUUUGUUUAAACUCAUUCAAGUCCUCCAAAUGCAUAAAAUAGAUUACAGACGACUAUAAUUUCCCAUAUGUAUUGUUAUCCCAGCUUUUGGACCGUGUUUUUGUGACUCCAUUAUUUUACUCUAAUGCAAUUCUAAAAAGCAAACACUACAUUUCCUCUUUAAGGCGGCACUUGGGGGAAUUUAAAUUCCGAAUUAGCAUUAAAAUUAAACACUUAAAACUUUGACUUUAUUUCUGUACAUAAUUUUGCUACACGAGAGCUGUGACUUGGAAUAAAAAUUUAAACACAAAACACAACCCUCAGCUGGGAUUCCUAAAAUUAUACAUUACAGUUAUUUUCUUACAUCUGCUAUUUGCAACCCAGCCUUUGUAUUUGAGCACUGAGUAGAAACAUUAGUAUCAACAAGGCCUGUUAAGUAUUAAUAUGCUCAUAGCAAGUUAUUUUAAUUUUUUUAUUUUUUAUCACCCAUGCGCCAUAUGCUGCAUGCAGGCAUGCCCAGACACAUCCUCCAUCUGUUUAAAGAUAUUUGAGUUUAAAUUAGGCCCAGUGAAGAAUAGGGAAAACAAUCCAAUGCACAUGGCCUUCCUCUAAUGGAUAUUGAUUGCAGGCCAUUUAACAUUUGGUUGCAUCAGAAGGAAAAUGGAUCAGCACAGGCUGACCUGUGAGGGGAAGAUAAUAAGCACAAAGCUCUCUUGAGCACUGAUUUUUCUGCGUAUGAACUCUGCUAAGAGUUAGACUGUCAGGAUGAGCUAUCGGUUUAUCUGAUUUUAGCAUCAACAGAGAAAGACAAGAAUAAAGCCAGGGCUGCAGAGUCACAGUCAUAGUCUGUGCUUAUACAUAUUUUUUCAUUCGACUUCUCAGGGCAGUUCCCGAUCAAGUUUAACGACCGAUGCACCAGCGUUUGUGUAUGUAGGAAAAAACUGUAGGUAUAGAGAGCAAAAGCAGGUGGAGUGCACACCACUGCACUGAUAGUCCCUUCAUAAAGUCCCACUCCGAUUGUUUUUUCUUUUUACUACUUAAAGCAGGGGUGUCAAAGUCAAAUGGACGGAGGGCCAAAUAAAAAAUUUAGCUACAAGCCGAGGGCCGGACUGAUCGAAUGUUCAUUGAAAAUUUUUUAAAUGACGCAUAUAGUCUAGUGAACCUAAUUGAACCUACUGAAAACCUAACAAAUAUAUUCCAAUAUGAUCAGCUAAAUAAAGCAAUAUUUUCUUAUGGCUCUGUCAGUAAUCUUUAAUUUUCAACAGACACAAAAGACAAAUUUCCUUUAUAUAAAAAUCCCCAUAACAUGAACAUUAAAUGAAAGAAACCGGUAUUAUUCAAGGCACCAUCAGUAGCCUAUAUUUUCUAUUUUAGCAAAAGUGGGCUAAAUUUACUUCAAAGAAAAAAAUAAUAAUAGCAAUUUUCUAUCAUCCACUCAACUGAAAUAUUUUUAAAAUAUAAUUGGAUUGAAAUACAAUAAAAUAAAGUGCAAAAAUCUAUUAAUCAAAAACAACACUUUCUUCAAGGAGAAGUAACAUGCAGUGAAAACAAAUAUUAAACUUUAACUUUUAAACUUGAAAUGAGUAAAAACUCUAAAUAUGUGAUUGCACAGUAAUGUUCACUUGUUUGAGGUUGAGGGUGAUACUUGGUGGUGUCCCAUCAUUUCCACAAGUUCAUCAAUGUUCGGGGUAAGGCUCUGAGCUGAGGAAAUCCUCAGAAUUGAGUGAAGGUGUUCAGCAGUAAGUCGACUUCUGUGUGAUGUUUUGUUCAGGUUCAUCAAAGAAAACAGUUGUUCACACAGGUAUGUGCUGCCAAACAUAGACAACGUUUGAGCAGCCUGGAUGAGCCUACUGCUCGGUGCGUCACCGUUGCAUUGUGGGAAAUGUAGUAUUGGUGCGUGUAAAAGAUCUGCGGGCUGCCGGCUUGCUGCGGUCUGCGGGCCGGUUCUAAUAAUAAAUCAAGAUCAUCCCAGGGGCCGUAAAAAACCUUCUCGCGGGCCAGAUGUGGCCCGCGGGCCUUGACUCUGACAUAUGUGACUUAAAGUGUUCUCAACGGUCCUCUAACUGUUUUUAGCAAAAAUCAUGUUACCUGUGUCGUUUUCAAUAGCUUUUCUGCUGCAGAGCUCUAGUAGCUCAUUAGCAAUUCACCUCUGAGUCGUAGGUGGAGACAGCGCUGCUCUGCACACUUCUCCACGAGUUAGCCUGCAGCCUAACGUUGCCGGUGUAGUAGAAGUAGCAGGUAACAUAGGAGCCAUUCAGCUCUCGGACACGAUUGUCUUUUGAGACAUGAUGAAAGCUUAUAUCAUAAUUAGCUUUUUUACAAGCAUUGCAAUCCGCUAAUGCGAGCCGAUUAAAUCGGCCGAUUUUAGCCCGUUUGUGACUAAUCGGUAUUCGGCCAAAACUCGCAGAUAUUUUCAGAAAUAAAAUGCGGAGAAUAAGAUUCAGUUCAUUUCGAAAAUGUUCCACCAUUUGAAGAGUUCUCCGACUUAUCCUGUAGAUGGCGCAACGACCUCAUGACAAUCUUCAUCCACUAACUACCUCACAGCACAGCAGAGUGAGGCAUCUGAAGAAGGCAGCUCAGGAAUGCCAAAGGAGGAGAGUGGUCCGCCUCAACGGUAAAUAAACCAGUUUGUGAAAUACACAAUAAGUCAACAAGUUUCAGUUCAACCCACUUCACGAUGUUCCCCGCUGUGCUGGUCUCGGUCACGCCGAGUGAACAGUGAAGCACCAUGUAAUAUGCAAGCUAAAGUUAGAGUUAGCCACCUGCUAUUAGCCUUGCUACACUGGUAGAAUACAACGGUAGAAUAAACAACAGAACACAUUACGUGAUCAAGCUGCUUCUCUUACUGAGGCAGCUGCACGUCUCCGGACGAGAAAUGUGUAAUAUUAGUUCAGUUAAGUUGAAAAUGCUUUUCUGGUCCAAGUUUGAUCAGUCGGUCUUCCUGUCGGUGUAAAGAGCAGGAGCCUAGAGUAUAUCUACAGUAUAUACUGUAGAUAUCUACAGAUAUACAGUAUAUAUAUAUCUUUUUUAUAACUGAAUAAAAUUUAAAAACAUCGGCCGAUUAAUCGGUAAUCUGAUUUUUUCCCCCCCUAAUAAUCGGUUUCGGCAUCUGCCCUAAAAAAUACAAUAAUAACUCGUCAAACAUGUCAGGUAGUAUGAGUCUAUGAUCACUUUUCCUACAUACCUAAAAAGCCCUUUAGUAUUGUGAUAGCUUGAGCUCCUUGCGUUGUAAACUUUGCAAAUCUCCUGCUCCACUUUUCCCCCCUUCUCCAAUGUGUUACUACUCUGAAG
rnacentral:lncRNA from 1 species